rnacentral:rRNA from 1 species
CCUACGGGUGGCAGCAGUGGGGAAUAUUGCACAAUGGGGGAAACCCUGAUGCAGCAACGCCGCGUGGGUGAAGGAGCGUUUCGGCGCGUAAAGCCCUGUCAGCGGGGAAGAAGAAAGACGGUACCCGACCAAGAAGCCCCGGCUAACUACGUGCCAGCAGCCGCGGUAAUACGUAGGGGGCGAGCGUUAUCCGGAAUUACUGGGUGUAAAGGGAGCGUAGACGGCGAGGUAAGCCUGAAGUGGAAGCCCGCGGCCCAACCGCGGAACUGCUUUGGGAACUGCAUGGCUGGAGUACAGGAGGGGCAGGCGGAAUUCCUAGUGUAGCGGUGAAAUGCGUAGAUAUUAGGAGGAACACCAGUGGCGAAGGCGGCUUACUGGACUGUAACUGACGUUGAGGCUCGAAAGCGUGGGGAGCAAACAGGAUUAGAUACCCUUGUAGUC